rnacentral:lncRNA from 1 species
ACUUAAGUGUUAAUAGCUAAUAAUAGAGCAAGCUUGAUUACUACCUUGGUGUCCUAAAACGGAUGUUGGCCUGCCAGGGAGCAGCCAAGGUGAAGUUUUCAACCAGGCCGACCAACUUCAGAGUCCACUGGCUUCAAAACAGUGCUUUACAUCCUCCUUCCAACAUUAUUCACAAGCCGAUCAAGACUGAGAGAGUCACAAGUGUGUGAAACCUGUAUUCUUUCUGACUUCAUUUUCCCUGGUCGAAAUUUUUGUAGAAUAGACAAAUCAAGAAUGAUGACUUCUUAAGAUGCAGUAUUCAAGUUCAGAAAUCUAUACUCAGAUGACCUUAUGUAGGUCAUCUGCUUCUGAGGUUUAUCUCACCAGUGUUUUAUGUGAAGAACUGCAGUAAUGAAUUCUGAAUUUGUUCAAAUCAUUGAAGAUGUGUGAAGACAAAACAUUCACUCAAAUCUCUAUCAUGUUAGCAUGUUAUUUAUCAUUGCUCUGUUCUUCAUUGUUGAAUAAUGCAAUUGAGUUAAAAAGAAUAAACAUUAUUUACCG